UGGCUGCAGCUAAGAAUCUUCCGCAAUGGGCGCAAGCCUGACGGAGCGACGCCGCGUGAACGAAGAAGGCCGUGAGGUUGUAAAGUUCUUUUCUUGAGGAGGAAUAAGGCAGAAAGUGACUGUUCUGUCGAUGACGUCAAUCAAGGAAUAAGCCCCGGCUAAUUACGUGCCAGCAGCCGCGGUAACACGUAAGGGGCGAGCGUUGUUCGGAAUCAUUGGGCGUAAAGGGCGCGUAGGCGGUUACGCAAGUCUGGUGUGAAAGACCACAGCUCAACUGUGGGGGCGCGCUGGAAACUGUGUGACUUGAGUAUAGGAGGGGAAGCUGGAAUUCCUGGUGUAGGGGUGAAAUCUGUAGAUAUCAGGAAGAACACCGGUGGCGAAGGCGAGCUUCUGGCCAUAUACUGACGCUGAGGCGCGAAAGCGUGGGGAGCAAACAGGAUUAGAUACCCUGGUAGUC
rnacentral:rRNA from 1 species